UGCAGUCGAACGAGAAGUUCCUUCGGGAGCAAUUAAAGUGGCGCACGGGUGAGUAACGCGUAGACAAUCUGCCCUUCAGUCUGGGACAACUUUCCGAAAGGAGAGCUAAUACCGGAUAACAAUGCAUGACACAAGUUGUAUAUUUGAAAGCUUUAUGUGCUGAAGGAGGGGUCUGCGUCCCAUUAGCUAGUUGGUAGGGUAAAGGCUUACCAAGGCAACGAUGGGUAGCGGGUUUGAGAGGACGAUCCGCCACACUGGAACUGAGACACGGUCCAGACUCCUACGGGAGGCAGCAGUGGGGAAUAUUGCACAAUGGAGGAAACUCUGAUGCAGCAAUGUCGCGUGAGUGAAGAAGGCCCUUGGGUCGUAAAGCUCUUUUAUGGGGGAAGAUGAUGACGGUACCCCAAGAAUAAGCACCGGCUAACUAUGUGCCAGCAGCCGCGGUAAUACAUAGGGUGCGAGCGUUGUUCGGAAUUACUGGGCGUAAAGGGCGCGCAGGCGGAAUAGUAAGUCGGAGGUGAAAGCCCGGGGCUCAACCCCGGAGGGUCUUUCGAAACUACUAAUCUAGAGAGGGUCAGGGGCCGGCAGAAUUCCUGGUGUAGAGGUGAAAUUCGUAGAUAUCAGGAGGAAUACCGGUGGCGAAGGCGGCCGGCUGGGGCCACUCUGACGCUGAGGCGCGAAAGCGUGGGGAGCAAACAGGAUUAGAUACCCUGGUAGUCCACGCCGUAAACGAUGA
rnacentral:rRNA from 1 species